CUGUAAGCCUGUGAAGGUGGCCUGUGAGGGUUGCUGGAGGUAUCAGAAGUGCGAAUGCUGACAUAAGUAACGAUAAAGCGGGUGAAAAGCCCGCUCGCCGGAAGACCAAGGGUUCCUGUCCAACGUUAAUCGGGGCAGGGUGAGUCGACCCCUAAGGCGAGGCCGAAAGGCGUAGUCGAUGGGAAACGGGUUAAUAUUCCCGUACUUGGUGUUACUGCGAAGGGGGGACGGAGAAGGCUAUGUUGGCCGGGCGACGGUUGUCCCGGUUUAAGCGUGUAGGUGUGUGUUCCAGGUAAAUCCGGUUCACUUUAACACUGAGGCGUGACGACGAGGCACUACGGUGCUGAAGCAACAAAUGCCCUGCUUCCAGGAAAAGCCUCUAAGCAUCAGGUAACAUCAAAUCGUACCCCAAACCGACACAGGUGGUCAGGUAGAGAAUACCAAGGCGCUUGAGAGAACUCGGGUGAAGGAACUAGGCAAAAUGGUGCCGUAACUUCGGGAGAAGGCACGCUGACAC
rnacentral:rRNA from 2 species